rnacentral:rRNA from 1 species
UUAGCGGCGGACGGGUGAGUAACACGUGGGUAACCUGCCCAUAAGAUUGGGAUAACUCCGGGAAACCGGGGCUAAUACCGGAUAAUUUGUUUCACUGCAUGGUGCAAAAUUGAAAGGCGGCUUCGGCUGUCACUUAUGGAUGGACCCGCGUCGCAUUAGCUAGUUGGUGAGGUAACGGCUCACCAAGGCAACGAUGCGUAGCCGACCUGAGAGGGUGAUCGGCCACACUGGGACUGAGACACGGCCCAGACUCCUACGGGAGGCAGCAGUAGGGAAUCUUCCGCAAUGGACGAAAGUCUGACGGAGCAACGCCGCGUGAGUGAUGAAGGAUUUCGGGUCGUAAAACUCUGUUGU